GACGAACGCUGGCGGCGUGCUUAACACAUGCAAGUCGAACGGAAAGGCCCUGCUUUUUUGGGGUGCUCGAGUUGCGAACGGGUGAGUAACACGUGAGUAACCUGCCCUUGACUUUGGGAUAACUUCAGGAAACUGGGGCUAAUACCGGAUAGGAGCUCCUGCUUCAUGGUGGGGCUUGGAUAGUUUCGGCGGUUGGUGAUGGACUCGCGGCUUAUCAGCUUGUUGGUGGGGUAGUGGCUUACCAAGGCUUUGACGGGUAGCCGGCCUGAGAGGGUGACCGGCCACAUUGGGACUGAGAUACGGCCCAGACUCCAACGGGAGGGAGGGGUGGGGAAUAGUACACAAUAGGCGGAAGCCAGAUGCAGCAAAGCAGCGUGCGGGAUGACGGCCUUCGGGUUGUAAACCGAUUUCGCCUGUGACGAGGCGUGAGUGACGGUAAUGGGUAAAGAAGCACCGGCUAACUACGUG
rnacentral:rRNA from 1 species